UGGCGCGACCAUACCAGCAUCAGUGCACCGGAUCCCAUUAGAACUCCUCAGUUAAGCAUGCUUGGGCGAGAGUAGUACGAGGAUGGGUGACCUCCUGGGAAGUCUUUGUAUUGCGCCCU